rnacentral:rRNA from 1 species
GGGUCAUUAGGGAAGUAAAGUCGUAACAGGUUUCCGUAGGUGAACCUGCGGAAGGAUCAUUAUUGAAAUAAACCUGAUGGGUUGUUGCUGGCUCUCUAGGGAGCAUGUGCACGCCUUGUCAUCUUUAUGUCUCCACCUGUGCACCUUUUGUAGACCUUUCGGGGUCUAUGUUGCUUCAUUUUUCCACAAUGUAUGUUAAUAGAAUGUUGUGCCCUGUAUAAUAUAUACAACUUUCAGCAACGGAUCUCUUGGCUCUCGCAUCGAUGAAGAACGCAGCGAAAUGCGAUAAGUAAUGUGAAUUGCAGAAUUCAGUGAAUCAUCGAAUCUUUGAACGCACCUUGCGCUCCUUGGUAUUCCGAGGAGCAUGCCUGUUUGAGUGUCAUUAAUAUACAUAUUAUCAAGCCUUCUCUUGUAGAAGGGUUUGGAUGUGGGGGUUUGCUGGCCUCUUAAUCUUAAGAGUUCAGCUCUCCUGAAAUGCAUUAGCAGAACAACCUUAUGUUCAUUGGUGUGAUAACUAUCUACGCUAUUGAAUGUUGAGGGCAAAGUUCAGCUUUCUAACGGUCCUUGGACAACUCAUCAUUAAUGUGACCUCAAAUCAGGUAGGACUACCCGCUGAACUUAAGCAUAUCAAUAAGCGG